UGGCUACAUCACAUUGAAACACCAGCUCCCAUAUGAUCACUGAAGUGAAGCAAUGUUGAGCCAGGUCAAUAACUUGAUGGGUGACUAAUUGGAAAUAUCAGGUGCUGUAAG